AUAACUUCCACGAAAACAGGCUAAUGGCCGAAGAUUAGCCGAUAUUAUAGAAAUGUCAAACGAGAGAAAAAUCAUCUAUAAUUAAAUGUUACCUCCCGUAUAUCUGACCCAGAAUGAGCAUUCCUCAUCACGUACUGUGGUUUUCAUACUGGAUUCAACGAGGAAUAAGGGAUAUCGUGUUGCUCAGAAGGAUAACGAAUACAGAUGGUGGAAAUUAUAUGGAACGUGGUCGAGUAACCUCGCUCUGACUGUCGUCUUUCCUGGCUUCUAUUAUGCACUAGUGGUUCACUCAAUACUGUUUAUGAAGGCCACAGGAUUUUGCACAAAUUCAAGAAAAUAUUUAGCGAAAUGGCUGAAGGACUCGGAAAAAAAUUUGGCAAUUGCAAAUUCUUCGAAGUCACCCAAUAUGACAAAGAAAAUCCCAUUUGAAUAGACGUUUACAUUAAUUUUCGUAAUGAUU